rnacentral:tRNA from 1 species
GGGCGAUUAACUCAGCGGAAGAGUGCCACCUUCACACGGUGGAAGUCGCAAGUUCGAACCUUGCAUCGCCCA